rnacentral:rRNA from 1 species
AUUGAACGCUGGCGGCAUGCCUUACACAUGCAAGUCGAACGGCAGCACGGGAGCAAUCCUGGUGGCGAGUGGCGAACGGGUGAGUAAUAUAUCGGAACGUGCCCAGUCGUGGGGGAUAACGUAGCGAAAGCUACGCUAAUACCGCAUACGAUCUAUGGAUGAAAGCGGGGGAUCGCAAGACCUCGCGCGAUUGGAGCGGCCGAUAUCAGAUUAGGUAGUUGGUGAGUUAAGGGCUCACCAAGCCGACGAUCUGUAGCUGGUCUGAGAGGACGACCAGCCACACUGGGACUGAGACACGGCCCAGACUCCUACGGGAGGCAGCAGUGGGGAAUUUUGGACAAUGGGCGCAAGCCUGAUCCAGCAAUGCCGCGUGCAGGAUGAAGGCCUUCGGGUUGUAAACUGCUUUUGUACGGAACGAAACGGCGAGCUCUAAUACAGUUUGCUAAUGACGGUACCGUAAGAAUAAGCACCGGCUAACUACGUGCCAGCCGCCGCGGUAA